rnacentral:lncRNA from 1 species
UGAAGGGCCCAAGCCGGCACCUUCCCGUUGCUGUCCUGCUGCUCUGCACGGUCUGCUUCAACCCAGGAGGCCAUGGGGAGCCCCUGGUCCCACCUUCCUGCUCCCUGAACCUCUGGACCCAAGCUGGCUUCCUUGGCUCCUACUGCAGAGAGCAAGGCCUGGAGAACAGCUUCCAAUGGAUUACAUGCAAGGGCCUUUUGAGGAGAACUAGGGUUCCCACUCCCAGUGGCUCUUACACCUUUCCUUCACUUUAGACUUUCAUCUGUUCACCAACCCCAUGUCUGGGGUGCUAGGCUUGCCCUAUAGGUCCUUCUUCCGAUGGGAUUGCUCUAAGACCCCAGGUGUUAUGACUUGUGUCUAGAUGUCCCCCCAAAGCCUCAUGUAGUAUCAGUGGAGUUUUGUUAGAGUGGCUGGAUCUAGAGUGUGUGAUGCUGGGACUGAUUCAUGGUGCAAUGUUAAGAUCAAGAGCACUAGGAUUAAGGUAUGAGUGCUACCUGCCCUAAGUAGCCUGGAUGAAAUACAAGGGAUAGAAAGAAAUAUGGUUGUCCCAAAAACUGUUUCUUGUCUGCAAUGUCACCCUGCUAUGGCGCCAGUCAACUAUGAACUGAAACCUCUAUAAACUGUGAGCUAAAUAAACCUUUCUUGCUUUAACA